AAGAAUAUAGCUUAACGGUAAAGCACCCGGGCAUCCGGGAGAAUGGCGGUUCGACUCCGCCUAUUCUUU
rnacentral:tRNA from 1 species